UGGGGAAUAUUGCACAAUGGGGGAAACCCUGAUGCAGCGACGCCGCGUGAACGAAGAAGGUAUUCGUAUCGUAAAGUUCUGUCCUAUGGGAAGAUAAUGACAGUACCAUAGAAGAAAGCUCCGGCUAAAUACGUGCCAUCAGCCGCGGUAAUACGUAUGGAGCGAGCGUUGUCCGGAAUUAUUGGGCGUAAAGGGUACGCAGGCGGUUUAAUAAGUCGAAUGUUAAAGAUCGGGGCUCAACCCCGUAAAGCAUUGGAAACUGAUAAACUUGAGUAGUGGAGAGGAAAGUGGAAUUCCUAGUGUAGUGGUGAAAUACGUAGAUAUUAGGAGGAAUACCAGUAGCGAAGGCGACUUUCUGGACACAAACUGACGCUGAGGUACGAAAGCGUGGGGAGCAAACAGG
rnacentral:rRNA from 1 species